AGCAGCCGCGGUAAUUCCAGCUCCAAUAGCGUAUAUUAAAGUUGUUGCAGUUAAAAAGCUCGUAGUUGAAUUUCGAGAUCAAAUUGUUGGUCGUGCCUUGGUACGCACUGGCAUUAUUGGUUUCUCCCUUCUGACGAACCAUGAUGUCAUUAAUUUGGUGUCUUGGGGAAUCAGGACUGUUACUUUGAAAAAUUAGAGUGUUUAAAGCAGGCUCACGCUUGAAUACAUUAGCAUGGAAUAAUGAAAUAGGACGUUUGAUUCUAUUUUGUUGGUUUCUAGGAUCGACGUAAUGAUUAAUAGGGAUAGUUGGGGGCAUUAGUAUUCAAUUGUCAGAGGUGAAAUUCUUGGAUUUAUUGAAGACUAACUACUGCGAAAGCAUUUGCCAAGGAUGUUUUCAUUAAUCAAGAACGAAAGUUAGGGGAUCGAAGACGAUCAGAUACCGUCGUAGUCUUAACCAUAAACUAUGCCGACUAGGGAUCGGAU
rnacentral:misc_RNA from 1 species